CCUACGGGGGGCAGCAGUCGGGAAUAUUGCGCAAUGGAGGAAACUCUGACGCAGUGACGCCGCGUGCAGGAAGACGGUUUUCGGAUUGUAAACUGCUUUUGACAGGGAAGAAAAAAGACAGUACCUUUAGAAUAAGCUCCGUCUAACUACGUGCCAGCACCAGCGGUAAUACGUAGGGAGCAAGCGUUAUCCGGAUUUAUUGGGUGUAAAGGGUGUGUAGAAGGGGAAGAAAGUUCGUUGUGAAAUCCCUCGGCUUAAAUGACGAACUGCAACUAAAACUACUUCCCUUGAGUACUGGAGAGGAAUGUGGAAUGCCUGGUGUAGCGGUGAAAUGCGUAGAUAUUAGGAGGAACACCAGUGGCGAAGGCGACUUUCUGGACAGUAACUGACGCUGAGGCACGAAAGUGUGGGGAGCAAACAGGAUUAGAUACCCGAGUAGUC
rnacentral:rRNA from 1 species